GAAGGUUUUCGGAUCGUAAAGCUCUGUUGUUAGGGAAGAACAAGUGCAAGAGUAACUGCUUGCACCUUGACGGUACCUAACCAGAAAGCCACGGCUAACUACGUGCCAGCAGCCGCGGUAAUACGUAGGUGGCAAGCGUUGUCCGGAAUUAUUGGGCGUAAAGGGCUCGCAGGCGGUUUCUUAAGUCUGAUGUGAAAGCCCCCGGCUCAACCGGGGAGGGUCAUUGGAAACUGGGAAACUUGAGUGCAGAAGAGGAGAGUGGAAUUCCACGUGUAGCGGUGAAAUGCGUAGAGAUGUGGAGGAACACCAGUGGCGAAGGCGACUCUCUGGUCUGUAACUGACGCUGA
rnacentral:rRNA from 1 species